rnacentral:sRNA from 1 species
GCUGGGCUUGGUGGUCCAUGCCUGUAGUCCUACCACUUGGUAGACUUAGGCAGGAGAAUCCUUUGAGUCCAGGAGUUUGAGACUAGCCUGGGCAACAUAGUGAGACCCUGUCUCAA